CAGGUUAAGUUUUGUUGAGAUGGUUGUACCUUAUGGUGAUCCAAAUGAGCCACAUUACCGUAAGAAUGCAUUUGAUGCCGGGGAAGAUGGCUUGGGAAAAAAUGCACAUUCUCUUAAGAAGGGUUGUGACUGUUUGGGCUACAUCAAAUAUUUUGAUGCCCAUUUCACCAAUUAUACUGGAGGUGUUGAGACUAUCGAAAAUUGUGUUUGUAUGCAUGAGGAAGAUCAUGGAAUCUUAUGGAAGCAU
rnacentral:misc_RNA from 1 species